AACGAACGCUGGCGGCAUGCCUAACACAUGCAAGUCGAACGAGACCUUCGGGUCUAGUGGCGCACGGGUGCGUAACGCGUGGGAACCUGCCCUUAGGUUCGGUAUAACUCACCGAAAGGGGUGCUAAUACCGGUUAAUGUCUUCGCACCAAAGAUCUAUCGCCAUUGGAUGGGCCCGCGUUGGAUUCGCUGGUUGGUAGUGUAAAAGCCUACCAAGGCGAGGAUCCAUAGCUGGUCGGAUAGGAGGACCAGCCGCAAUGGGGCUGAGACACGGCCCAGACUCCUAGGGAGGGGAGCAGAGGGGAAUAUUGGAGGAGGGAGGAAGGCCUGAUCCAGCAGUGCGGGGUGAGUGGUGAAGGGCGUAGGAUUGUAAAGCUCUUUGAGCCGGGAUGAUAAUGACAGUACCGGGUGAAUAAGCACCGGCUAACUACGUG
rnacentral:rRNA from 1 species